rnacentral:tRNA from 1 species
GAGGCAGUAGCUCAGUGGUACAGCUCCAGCUUGGUACGCUGAACGACCUCGGUUCGAUUUCCGGGCUGCUUUC